rnacentral:tRNA from 1 species
AUAAUGAUUAUUUUUAAUCCUUAAUAAA